UUAUUACUCCUUCCGUCCGGAAAUACUUGUCAUGUGAAUGGAUGUAUCUAGAUGUGUUCUAGUUCUAGAUACAUCCACUAGUAUUCAUUUUGUGACAAAUAAUUCGUGCGGAGGGAGUAUAAU
rfam:Hordeum vulgare subsp. vulgare, WGS project CAJW01000000 data, contig: morex_contig_1572277